AUGGAAGUGGACAUUUUUCAAGCACUUGUUGACAAGCUGCGUGAGAAAAAACUCCUUGCUGAUUCAAAAGUACUAGCAGUAGAAGAGCAAGUGGCAAUAUUUUUGUAUGCAGUAUCCAAAAAUGCAACAAAUGAAACCCUACAGGAUUGGUUUCAGCAUAGUGCAGAAACAAUAAGCCGGCGAUUUGGAUUAGUGCUUGAUGCGAUCACACGGCUCACAAAUGUCUAUAUACGUCCACCUUCCCUCAACCCACAUCCAAUCUUGAGCAAACCACAAUUUUAUCAUUUCUUUCAGAAUUGCAUUGGUGCUAUAGAUGGAACCCAUAUUCCUAUGUUCCUAUCACCAGGCCAACAAGAACCAUACCGGAACAGGAAGCAAACGCUCUCACAAAAUGUCAUGGUUGCUUGUGACUUCGACUUAAAAUUUGUGCAUGUACAUGCUGGGUGGGAAGGAUCAGCUUCUGAUGCAAGAGUUCUACAAGAUGCACUAAAUCAUGGUUUUCAUGUACCUCAUGGUAAAUUUUACCUUGUUGAUGCUGGUUAUGCAAACACACCCCAAUUUCUUGCUCCAUACCGUGGUACUAGGUAUCAUCUAAAAGAACAAGGAGAAGUACGUCAAAGGCCACAAAAUUACAAGGAAUUGUUCAACCUUCGUCAUGCUCAACUUCGGAAUCAUAUAGAGAGAAUUAUCGGCAUACUAAAAAUGAGAUUUCCUAUCCUGAAAGUUGCUGCACAUUAUUCAGUUGAUAAACAAAUUGACAUAUCCGUGGCUUGUUGUGUUUUGCACAAUUUCAUACGCCUACACAAAGGAGAUAUGGAGUGGCCCAAAGAUGCUCCCAUGGAGAUUGACCCGAACUAG
rnacentral:rRNA from 1 species